UUAAUGGCAUAUUACUGAAUUGUGGGAGGACAUAUGUGAUUCUACCCCUUUUCAUUUUUAUGCUGCUUUGGAG
rnacentral:pre_miRNA from 1 species